AACGCAUAUUGCGCCCAGUAGUAUUCUACUGGGCAUGCCUAUUCGAGCGUCAUUUCAACCCUUACGCCCUGUAGCGUAGUGUUAGGACUCUACUCUUUAGAGAGCAGUUCCCCAAAACCAGUGGCAGUGUUCGGUACACUCAUAGCGUAGUAAUUCUUCUCGCUUCUGCAGUGGCCCGUACUACUCGCCGUAAAACCCCUAAUUUUCUAAUGGUUGACCUCGGAUUAGGUAGGAAUACCCGCUGAACUUAA
rnacentral:misc_RNA from 1 species